CGAUGCUGGCGCUGGCCAUACUUAUUAUUAUGAUGUUACACUUUUAGGUAAUACUUUUUCCUUCGCCAAGCGUUUGCCAUAGGGUCUGUAAGUCUCGUCAUGUGAUUGCCGAGAUUUAGCGAGAUUAUUAACUUCCGGGUACAUCAACAUCUCAGAUUGCACUGUGUAGAGAGUGGUAUACAUAGAUAUAGCGUUAUCAAUCGAUUGUGUGGAGGUUCUAACGAGAUAAACAUGGGAAUUGAACCAUUAGUGGAGUCGUCGAGGAUUCUUUGCUUCGUGUUUGACGAAUUACGUGUAAUAACCGCCAGUGUACAAGCAUCGACGAGGGUACGUCUUGCAGAUAAAGAGCAGAUAUGUCUUGAAUCUGAGGAUAAAGGUGUUGUGCAUUAUGCAGUCAUCAUUAAUGUGGAUGUAUGAUGUCAGUGUGCCCAUACUGGGGCAGUAUAAGUGUCGAUCUUCAUAUGGCAGCAAAUUUUCAAAGGCAGGUACACAAUUUAAAGAUAAAAAUACUGUCAAUACAUGUUUGGAUCUAUAUCUAUUAUGAUUAUAAUAAUUAUAAGUUUAUAUGUUGUAAACUUUCUUUCUUUUUAGAAAUUUCUUUCUUUAUAAACUGUCUUGCUGUUAUGCCCUCUGGGCCCAAAUUGGAAUAAACUUAUCUUAUCUGUACCCAAAGUAAGUAAUAAAUGAGUUCGAACUGCGAAGAUAAAAUUUUUACAUGUAGAUAUAUUGGAAAUUUUCAGAUAUAAGAAGGCAAAUAAAACUACUCAAUGUAAAAUACGCCAGUAGUUGGAUAAAACAUCCAAAGUCGGCACAGUCAAAGGUCACAGCAACAAUGGAGGAAUUAAAUGCAUCCUCAUUCCGCAGGGCAACGGGCCAUUUUCAGCAACCCCUGAAAUUCUUAAUUGAGGCUAAGUGCCCAUUUUCAGCUCGAACAAUGACAAUUAAAGAGGCCUGUGCAAAUGUUGGGAUUUCCCUCUUGUUAAAAUGUGAUGCAAGGGAUGGUUCGCUGCACCUCAAAACAAAAUAUGAAUAUUGGCAUCAGAUUCAAUGACAACAACACCUGAAAGACACCCAAUGCUGUGAUUUGCUAGUGUGGAUUCCUAGUGACACUCAAAUAAUUCACAUUGACAAAGAUGCAUUAUGGUCAACUUUUUAAGCGUGAUAGAGUUUAAUUAUAAUAAUGAAGUAUUUUUGCAGUCUAAAACACACACACAUAACCACAUUUACAUAUACUUUAUUAUGAUAUCAGUGGUGCAUCUAUCAAAGUCAUCUAAUUACAUGUAUAUUUAUUGAAUAAACAUUAUAGACAGA